rnacentral:rRNA from 1 species
GAUGAACGCUGGCGGCGUGCCUAAUACAUGCAAGUCGAACGAACAGACGAGGAGCUUGCUCCUCUGACGUUAGCGGCGGACGGGUGAGUAACACGUGGAUAACCUACCUCUAAGACUGGGUUAACUUCGGGAAACCGGAGCUAAUACCGGAUAAUAUAUUGAACCGCAUGGUUCAAUAGUGAAAGACGGUUUUGCUGUGACUUAUAGCUGGCUCCGCGCUGCAUUAGCUAGUUGGUAAGGUAACGGCUUACCAAGGCAACGAUGCGUAGCCGACCUGAGAGGGUGAUCGGCCACACGGGAACUGAGGCACGGUCCAGACUCCUAAGGGAGGCAGGAGUAGGGAAGCUUGCGCAAGGGGCGAAAGCCUGACGAAGCAACGACGCGUGAUGGAUGAAGGUCUUCGGAUCGUAAAACUCUGUUAUUAGGGAAGAACAAAUGUGUAAGUAACUAUGCACGUCUUGACGGUACCUAAUCAGAAAGCCACGGCUAACUACGUG